rnacentral:SRP_RNA from 1 species
CCGUGCUAGGCGGGGAAUUAGCGGUGCCCUGUACUCGCAAUCCGCUCUAGCGAGGCCGAAUCCCCUCCCGAGGGGUGACUGCCUCGGGGCCAGCCCGUUCGUCGCGGUGCUGAUGGCC